rnacentral:pre_miRNA from 1 species
GUUGAUGAUGUUUAGCACAAGGAACAGUUGUGUUUACCUGUGUGUGGAUGGUGUUCAGCACCAAAAACAGGUGUAUACACUA